AAAACUUUACAAUGCGGGAAACCGUGAUAAGGGAACUCCGAGUGUCCGUAAAUGCGGACUGUCCGUUUGUCUAAAAAGCAAGCGAAGAAAGGGCCGGGCAAGACCGGUGCCAGCCGCCGCGGUAAUACCGGCGGCUCGAGUGGUGGCUCACUAUUACUGGGCUUAAAGCGUUCGUAGCUGGGUCGUUAAGUCUUCUUGGGAAAUCUACCGGCUUUAACCGAUAGGCGUCCAAGGGAUACUGGCGAUCUAGGGACCGGGAGAGGUGAGGGGUACUUCAGGGGUAGGAGUGAAA
rnacentral:rRNA from 1 species